rnacentral:rRNA from 1 species
CGUGUAGGCUGCUCGGAAAGUCAGGUGUGAAAGCCCUGGGCUCAACCUAGGAAGUGCACUUGAAACUUCCGAGCUGGAGAUCUGGAGAGGAAGGCGGAAUUCUCGGUGUAGAGGUGAAAUUCGUAGAUAUCGAGAGGAACACCGGUGGCGAAGGCGGCCUUCUGGACAGCAUCUGACGCUGAGACGCGAAAGCGUGGGGAGCAAACAGGAUUAGAUACCCUGGUAGUCCACGCCGUAAACGAUGGGUGCUAGGUGUCGCGGGCUUUGACCCCUGCGGUGCCGUAGCUAACGCAUUAAGCACCCCGCCUGGGGAGUACGGCCGCAAGGCUAAA